ensembl:lncRNA
CUUGAUACUACACAGCCUGCCUCUCAGAGUCCCUGGUUGUUCACUCUGUUCCCGAGUGCACAUCCUGUGUGGCCCCAGGUGGCAUUUGGUGACCUCCUCCCCCAGGCUAACCUUAGGAAGAGGAGGAAGCAGCUUUGGUUGGAUAUAGUGAUCCUCGUGCUGAAGAGGACCCGCCACGGGCUUCAAGGUCUUACUUGGAAGAGGUUGUGGCAAUUUAUAAUUAUACAAAAGACAAGGAAGAUGAGCUAUCCUUUCAGGAAGAGCCAUUAUUUAUGUCAUCCAAAAGAAAACGAUGGUUGAUAUGAGGGAGUUCUGAUGCAGUGACUAGGCUCUUUCCUGCGAAUUAUGCUGAGUCUGUCAUGCAUUGUCCUGAGUAAAGCUCAGCAGGGGAUAAUCGGGUCUUCCAAGAUUGUUAAAAGGCCCUGGGGAUUCCCCCCCCCUGGUGAAAUGAAUGAAAGACACGAAUGAUGAAAACUACUUUUUUUUUUGGUUUAUCCCCCUGUAUCAAAACAAACAAAAAAGCAAGCGGAGUCUGAACAAAUGGAUCUUUCUGCCAUCAUUUGCACUGUGCUGAGCUGUCUGAAUUGAUAUAAAGUGAUGAUUUCUAAAUAUGUAAAAAAAAUACAUACAGCAGAUUUCAUGGAAAACAAACAUAAUGCACAUGUACAAAUAUACGUACAGCAUACAAGCAGAUAGUGUAUCUGUGGUGCUAAGAUGCCAAUCCUGAUCGUGCACGUCCACAGGUCGAUCAUCACCGCCCGCUUGCAAGGCAAUCACGUUUUUGUGACACCGAGUCAUCAUUAUCUAAUCUGUGGACAGCAAUAUGGUACUGAUGCUCUAGGAAGAACUUGGAAGUGGAGCCUGGGUGUCAGGGCCAGAUGACUGGGCUUUCCCGAGCUGGUCCUGUCAGCUUCUCAUUUCUUGCCUUCGCCCAAAAGCCAAGCACACACUCACAAGGCCUUCGCACUCACAGUUCCCUCUGCCUAUAAAGCUCUCUGCCAGAGCAGGGCUCACUUGCUCAUUUGCUCCAGGGCCCUGCUCACAAUUCACGUCCUCAGAAUGCACGCCCAGCCGGUCCCCACUCUCAACCCUUUACUCUAUUUUUUUCUUUGCUUGUUUUCACUUAUGAUGCCUAUCACCACCUGGCAUUAUAUUAGAGCCCUCCCUCCUAUCCGUGAGGGAUUGGUUCCAGGACUCAGCUGCCCAGAUACCAAAAUCCCUGGAUGCUCAAGUCUCUUAUAAAAUGGCCCAUCCUCUGGAGUGCUUUAUAUCAUCUCUGGAUUACUGAUAUACCUGAUACAGUGUAAAGGCUAUGUAAGUAGUUGUUAUACUGUAUUGUUUAGGGUACAAUGACAAGGAGAAAAGUCUGUACGUGUUCAGUACAGACACAACCAUCGCAGGCCUUCCCAUCGACGUUGGUUGAAUAUGGAUGCAGAUCCUAUGGAUACGAAGGGCUGACUGUAUUAUCUAUUUGGUUUUUUUGUUUAUUGUUUAUUUCCCUCAUGGGGCCGUAAACUUCAUAGGAUGGGGCUUUUGUUUACUACUGUCCCUCCAAAAUAGGGACUCGAUAUUUGUUGACUGUGUAAUGGAGACAUGAAUAAAUACUGGAG